UACGUAGGGUGCAAGCGUUUAAUCGGAAUUACUGGGCGUAAAGCGUGCGCAGGCGGUUUUGUAAGUUUGUCGUGAAAGCCCCGGGCUCAACCUGGGAAUUGCGAUGAGGACUGCAAGGCUUGAAUCUGGCAGGAGGGGGGUAGAAUUCCACGUGUAGCAGUGAAAUGCGUAGAGAUGUGGAGGAACACCGAUGGCGAAGGCAGCCCCCUGGGUCAAGAUUGACGCUCAUGCACGAAAAGCGUGGGGAGCAAACAGG
rnacentral:rRNA from 1 species